UUGUUCGCUCAGUUGCUCGAGCUGACGCUCGCUACUGUAGUGUUUCGAAGUUUAGUAAGUUUAUUUCUUGUCCAGCGUCGUGCGUAUGUUUUCUUGCAAUCUGUCGGUCAACUGGACAGGUCCGGCAUCCUGUCCAAUACGCAAUGAGCGAUAUCGUUAAGCGUAACAACGAGGGCUGCUGUAGCGGGGAGGCAACGUCCCUUAUUUGUUCUCUGUACUUCAGGUUUCAGGGAAUGAUGUUGCGAAUGAGUGACGAGCACAAUGGAGAUGUGGGACUGACCUAAAUGUGUUAACAAGAUUGUCGUUUGGUUGCGGUCGAUGCUGUCUGUUCAGUGUACUGGCGACGAACAAUAUGGAGAUAUGGGACUGACGUGCUGGCAGAGUCAUGGAAUGAAGGUCACGAUUACUACGCCUGGCCUGUAAGCCAUUUGUUGGCACUUCAGCUGGGCUGGAGCUACGAUCACAUUUUAGGUAAACGAAAACAGUU